AUGCUCACAGGCCUCAUAGUAGGUGCCAACACCAUUGUCGGCGGCAACUUCUCCGGCAUGUCCGUGAACCCCGCCCAAUCCUUUGGGCAUGUGUUGGCCAACGGAGUGUGGACCAACCACUGGGUCUACUGGGUUGGCCCAAUGGUCGGUGCCCCCUCGCUGGGUUUGUCUACGAGACGUUGUUCGUGGUGA
rnacentral:rRNA from 1 species